GUAAAAGCCUACCAAGACGAUGAUGUUUAGCGGGGCCAAGAGGUUGUACCGCCACACUGGGAUUGAGAUACGGCCCAGACUCCUACGGGAGGCAGCAGUAAGGAAUAUUCCACAAUAAGCGAAAGCUUGAUGGAGCGACACAGCGUGCAGGAUGAAGUCUUUCGGGAUGUAAACUGCUGUUGUAAGGGAAGAAAAAACUAGAUAGGAAAUGCUCUAGUCUUGACGGUACCUUAUUAGAAAGCGACGGCAAACUAUGUGCCAGCAGCCGCGGUAAUACAUAGGUCGCAAGCGUUAUCCGGAAUUAUUGGGCGUAAAGCGUCCGUAGGUUUUUUGUUAAGUUUAAAGUUAAAUGCUAAAGCUCAACUUUAGUCCGCUUUAGAUACUGGCAAAAUAGAAUUAUGAAGAGGUUAGCGGAAUUCCUAGUGGAGUGGUGGAAUACGUAGAUAUUAGGAAGAACACCAAUAGGCGAAGGCAGCUAACUGGUCAUAUAUUGACACUAAGGGACGAAAGCGUGGGGAGCAAACAGGAUUAGAUACCCUGGUAGUCCACGCCGUAAACGAUGAUCAUUAGUUGGUGGCAAAAGUCACUAACACAGCUAACGCGUUAAA
rnacentral:rRNA from 2 species